rnacentral:tRNA from 1 species
GAGGUUGUGGCUCAGUGGUAAAGUGUUCAUCUACAAUGUGUGAGGCCCUGGGUUCGAUCCUCAGCACCACA